GAUGAACGCUGGCGGCGUGCCUAAUACAUGCAAGUCGAGCGAACAGACGAGGAGCUUGCUCCUCUGACGUUAGCGGCGGACGGGUGAGUAACACGUGGAUAACCUACCUAUAAGACUGGGAUAACUUCGGGAAACCGGAGCUAAUACCGGAUAAUAUAUUGAACCGCAUGGUUCAAUAGUGAAAGACGGUUUUGCUGUCACUUAUAGAUGGAUCCGCGCCGCAUUAGCUAGUUGGUAAGGUAACGGCUUACCAAGGCGACGAUGCGUAGCCGACCUGAGAGGGUGAUCGGCCACACUGGAACUGAGACACGGUCCAGACUCCUACGGGAGGCAGCAGUAGGGAAUCUUCCGCAAUGGGCGAAAGCCUGACGGAGCAACGCCGCGUGAGUGAUGAAGGUCUUCGGAUCGUAAAACUCUGUUAUUAGGGAAGAACAAAUGUGUAAGUAACUAUGCACGCCUUGACGGUACCUAAUCAGAAAGCCGCGGCUAACUACGUG
rnacentral:rRNA from 1 species